UAAUACGAAGGGCCCGAGCGUUGCGCGGAAUCACUGGGCUUAAAGGGUGCGUAGGCGGGUCCGCAAGUGUCUUGUGAAAUCCCACGGCUCAACCGUGGAAUUGCUUGGCAUACUGCGGGCCUUGAGGUCGGCAGAGGUCGCCGGAACUCUAGGUGUAGCGGUGAAAUGCGUAGAUAUCUAGAGGAACGCCAAAGGUGAAGACAGGCGGCUGGGCCGAUUCUGACGCUGAGGUACGAAAGCGUGGGUAGCGAACGGGAUUAGAUACCCCGGUAGUCCACGCCCUAAACGAUGUGCACUAGAUCGUGGUGGCUCUGACGCCGGCACGGUCGUAGCAAAAGUAAUAAGUGCACCGCCUGGGGAGUACGGUCGCAAGACUA
rnacentral:rRNA from 1 species